CGCCUUCGUGUGCUCGACGCGUUGGUGCCAUUCUCCAGCCGAACCACGCCAUCUCCCGUCACCGGCGAUGCCUCCGGCAAGCCCCACGAAAUAUUUUGUGUUCAUUGCUGUGGAUUUUCUUGGAUGGAUUUAUUUGCAUCUUUCGAUGUUUAUCGAUCGAGUAUUUGGUGUGUACGUAAGUGCGAUCAACGAUGAAUGAUAGAGACCAGAAAUAUCGCAAAGAAAUAAUGCCAGGAAAUCAUGGAAGCGAUGAUAUCGGGACUUUCUAGGAUUCAACUCCCAGUCGGUUGCCUGUGGGCGGGUUUGAGGCACAUCCACUGGAUAUUUGAAUCUAUUUCAUUGUAUUUUUCCGCUGCAUAUCUUUUUAUAUUGUAAACUGGUUGGUCCUAAUGUUGUAAAUUUAAUCCAAUUAAGCAUAUUCACCUUGUAAAAUGUAUG